rnacentral:rRNA from 1 species
AGAGUUUGAUCCUGGCUCAGGACGAACGCUGGCGGCGUGCCUAAUACAUGCAAGUCGAACGAAGCUUUCUUUCACCGAAUGCUUGCAUUCACCGAAAGAAGCUUAGUGGCGAACGGGUGAGUAACACGUAGGCAACCUGCCCAAAAGAGGGGGAUAACACUUGGAAACAGGUGCUAAUACCGCAUAACCAUGAACACCGCAUGAUGUUCGUGUAAAAGACGGCUUUUGCUGUCACUUUUGGAUGGGCCUGCGGCGUAUUAACUUGUUGGUGGGGUAACGGCCUACCAAGGUGAUGAUACGUAGCCGAACUGAGAGGUUGAUCGGCCACAUUGGGACUGAGACACGGCCCAAACUCCUACGGGAGGCAGCAGUAGGGAAUCUUCCACAAUGGACGAAAGUCUGAUGGAGCAACGCCGCGUGAAUGAAGAAGGCCUUCGGGUCGUAAAAUUCUGUUGUCAGAGAAGAAUGUGCGUGAGAGUAACUGUUCACGUAUUGACGGUAUCUGACCAGAAAGCCACGGCUAACUACGUGCCAGCAGCCGCGGUAAUACGUAGGUGGCAAGCGUUGUCCGGAUUUAUUGGGCGUAAAGGGAACGCAGGCGGUCUUUUAAGUCUGAUGUGAAAGCCUUCGGCUUAACCGAAGUAGUGCAUUGGAAACUGGAAGACUUGAGUGCAGAAGAGGAGAGUGGAACUCCAUGUGUAGCGGUGAAAUGCGUAGAUAUAUGGAAGAACACCAGUGGCGAAAGCGGCUCUCUGGUCUGUAACUGACGCUGAGGUUCGAAAGCGUGGGUAGCAAACAGGAUUAGAUACCCUGGUAGUCCACGCCGUAAACGAUGAGUGCUAAGUGUUGGAGGGUUUCCGCCCUUCAGUGCUGCAGCUAACGCAUUAAGCACUCCGCCUGGGGUGUACGGUCGCAAGACUGAAACUCAAAGGAAUUGACGGGGGCCCGCACAAGCGGUGGAGCAUGUGGUUUAAUUCGAAGCAACGCGAAGAACCUUACCAGGUCUUGACAUCUUCUGACAAUUCCAGAGAUGGAACGUUCCCUUCGGGGACAGAAUGACAGGUGGUGCAUGGUUGUCGUCAGCUCGUGUCGUGAGAUGUUGGGUUAAGUCCCGCAACGAGCGCAACCCUUAUUGUCAGUUGCCAUCAUUAAGUUGGGCACUCUGGCGAGACUGCCGGUGACAAACCGGAGGAAGGUGGGGAUGACGUCAAAUCAUCAUGCCCCUUAUGACCUGGGCUACACACGUGCUACAAUGGACGGUACAACGAGUCGCUAACUCGCGAGGGCAAGCUAAUCUCUUAAAGCCGUUCUCAGUUCGGAUUGCAGGCUGCAACUCGCCUGCAUGAAGUCGGAAUCGCUAGUAAUCGCGAAUCAGCAUGUCGCGGUGAAUACGUUCCCGGGCCUUGUACACACCGCCCGUCACACCAUGAGAGUUUGUAACACCCAAAGUCGGUGGGGUAACCUUUUGGAGCCAGCCGCCUAAGGUGGACAGAUGAUUGGGGUGAAGUCGCAACAAGGUA